UUUACUUUUUCGUUGUAGCAAACACACCAUUUAACUCACCCAUAUAAAUAAAGAGAUUCGAGUCUCAAGGCCAUUGAAGAGCUCUUGGUACUCUUAUGAAUCUAUAUAUCACUUCUUUGGCAAGGUAUCCAAAUGUAAAUCCAUGCAAGUUUAAUAGAGAAAAAAAAUGAGAGUAUACCCGAGAAAGCAAUGUUUUCUUCUAUAUGUUGUUUGGAUAUGUACUUUGCUUGUUGCGACCGUUCAAACUCAGAAAGGAACUCCAGCAACUACAGAUCCUGAUGAAGUUCGAGCUUUGAAUUCACUUUUCCUUAAAUGGGGGAUUACUUUUGAAAACAAAUUAUGGAAUAUAAGCGGAGAGCCAUGCAGUGGAGCUGCCAUUGAUUCUACUACCUCUAUUGACACCUUGAAUACAGGGAUAAAAUGUGACUGUUCUUACAAUAGUAGCUCCACUUGCCACAUCAACCAAUUAACUAACGGAAUUGAUACAUUGUCUUUUUACUAAAAUGACAAGUGAAAAGUAAAAGCUUCUCGUUGAUGGGUGGAAACAAAUCUGAGAUAGUCAGUGGAAAGUGUAUGCAAGGAAUGUCGUCGGUAACUUCCCAGAAGAGAUUUGGAGCUUGACUUUCCUCGUUAUCUUGAAUUUGGGGCUAAACCACUUGACAGGUUCUAUUCCACCAAAAAUAAGUAACCUAACUAGCUUGCAGUACUUAUUUCUGAAUGCCAAUGCAUUCUCAGGGGAACUUCCUAAGGAACUUGGAAAGCUUACUGAAUUGAGAGCGCUGUGAGUACUAAGUAGUCCUCAUUUUAAGGCU